GUCACUUUGUAGUGAAGAAUUUUGAUCGCAUUUUUCAAGACAAAAAUCAUAAAAUCAAGAUGUUCGCUGCCAGGAGCCUUUUCAAAGCCAAUGCCCAAAUCCUUAAAAUGUCGCUCAGACCAGGAACAUGAGCGUGAUCGCCACUCCUGCCAGAAACAAGGUGUCCACUGGCGAGAUGGUAUUCCUCAUCAGCGCCAUGGUGGUCGGCUGGUCUAUCGUCCCUCACUGGGUGCUCUGCAACAUCAAGAACUACAGGACUAAGGAAUAAGCGUUAUAAACACAAGCUUAGGCAAAUGUAUUGUAGAGAGCGUGAUAACAGUUCUAAAUGUAUUAUGUUAAGUAAAUGGUUAUUUUAACUUG